CCUACGGGAGGCAGCAGUGGGGAAUAUUGGGCAAUGGGCGCAAGCCUGACCCAGCAACGCCGCGUGAAGGAAGAAGGCUCUCGGGUUGUAAACUUCUUUUAUCAGGGACGAAGCAAGUGACGGUACCUGAUGAAUAAGCCACGGCUAACUACGGGCCAGCAGCCGCGGUAAUACGGAGGUGGCAAGCGUUAUCCGGAUUUACUGGGUUUAAAGGGCGUGUAGGCGGGAAAGGAAGUCGUAUGUGAAAACCCUGGGCUCAACCUGGGGCCUGCAUUUGAAACUGUUUUUCUUGAGUACUGGAGAGGCAGACGGAAUUCCUAGUGUAGCGGUGAAAUGCGUAGAUAUUAGGAGGAACAACAGUGGCGAAGGCGGUCUGCUGGACAGCAACUGACGCUGAGGCGCGAAAGCGUGGGGAGCAAACAGGAUUAGAUACCCUUGUAGUC
rnacentral:rRNA from 1 species